GUCUUGCUUUAAAAUCUCAGAGGGCAGAGGGAGUGCUCCCAGACAGAGUCUUGCUCUGUUGCCAGAUUGGAGUGAAGUGGCGCGAUCUCAGCUCACUGCACCCUCUGACUCCCUGAUUCAAGUGAUGCUCCUGCCUCAGACUCCCAAGUAUUUCCUAUAUCUUCCUGUCUUUUCCAUGGCCAAAAAUGAUCAAGUAAAGAACAUUAAAGAAGAAAUAAAUUACUACAUAUUAAAAAAUACAUACUGUAAGAUGUUCUUUGUACAAAAAUGUGACAACUUCAAUAAGAGUAACUUGGACAACCUGAGGCAUUAAUUGAGGAUCAAUAUGAUGACUUUACAUUGAGAAUCACAUAUACCCUCUGAAUAAAUUUAAAAAAUGAAAUUUUUUAAUUUUCAUUAAAAAUUAAAUUUUUUUGAGUGAUGAAAAUACUCAAUCACAUUAUUUUCAAAUUGUUGAUAAGCAUGGAAAUUAUCAGAGAACCAGAAUAUUCAAGGUUUAUCUUUCCUGUUUUUGUCUUAAAUCACAACUAUGUGUUAAAUAAUUUGUAUGACCUAUUUCAGUGGCAGUAGGUUAAAUAAAAUUCUGUUUGUAUCUCC
ensembl:lncRNA LINC01013 long intergenic non-protein coding RNA 1013